UAGUCCACACCGUAAACGAUGAAUGCCAGUCGUCGGGCAGUAUACUGUUCGGUGACACACCUAACGGAUUAAGCAUUCCGCCUGGGGAGUACGGUCGCAAGAUUAAAACUCAAAGAAAUUGACGGGGACCCGCACAAGCGGUGGAGUAUGUGGCUUAAUUCGAUGCAACGCGAAGAACCUUACCUAGGCUUGACAUGCUCGUCAUACCCUCCCGAGAAGGAGGGGUCAUUUCGGAUGGACGAUGCACAGGUGCUGCAUGGUUGUCGUCAGCUCGUGCCGUGAGGUGUCGGGUUAAGUCCCAUAACGAGCGCAACCCUUAUCGUUAGUUACCAUCAGGUUAUGCUGGGGACUCUAGCGAGACUGCCACCGUAAGGUGAGAGGAAGGUGGGGAUGACGUCAAAUCAGCACGGCCCUUAUGUCCAGGGCUACACACGUGUUACAAUGGCAAGUACAAAGGGCAGCUACCAGGCGACUGGAUGCUAAUCUCUAAAGCUUGUCU
rnacentral:rRNA from 1 species